GCCCGGCUAGCUCAGUCGGUAGAGCGUGUGACUCUUAACCUUCCUUAACCGGAUAAGGGUUUAUCACAAUGUCGCGGGUUCGAGCCCCGCGUUGGGCU